AUUCCUCGCGUGGCCCAGAAACCGCUGAAAACCCCGACAGCCCGUUUGAUACGCGAGUUUUCCACAGCCCAAUCCCUCCGAGCCCCCUCCGAUACCCCCCUUUCCACGCGGUUUUCAGCCCUCGAGGGGGGACUCGAGGAUUCAGAGGAGUCGCCACCGCCGCCGCCCGACUCCUCCUCAAGACGCCGCCGCCCGCCGCCUUUACGCCGACGUAUCUCCUCCGGCAUACCCCUGGCUAUGGCAGAGAGCCGUGAGAUCUUUCUCAAUUCUGCCGCUGAAGAUGAAGAGAGUGCCGCCAUGUUUCUUCGGAGCGAAAUGGCAGAGUUGCCUUGAGGGACCUGACCUCGCGGAAGACGGAUGACCACUUUGCUGCCACAAGUCGCCUCCACACCGUGUAGCCCGCAAACAUGUCUCGAAGCAUUUGCCAAUCAAAUUUUAUGUUGCAAUGAACCAUUGACCUUCGUUGAUCGAACAUCUUGUAUUUUUCAUUUGGACCAUGGCAUGUAUGCAUGUAACAUUUUCAUUUGAACCGUUGAUAGUACUUGCAACAGAUUAUA